rnacentral:misc_RNA from 1 species
AAGUCGUAACAAGGUUUCCGUAGGUGAACCUGCGGAAGGAUCAUUAUCGAGUUUUUGAAACGGGUUGUCGCUGGUCCCAUUCUUAACAGAGUCGGGACAUGUGCACACCUGGCUUCAUUCCACUCUUCAACCCCUGUGCACUUGUUGUAGGUUUCAGGUCGGACGCGGGGCUUUCGACUUCAUCGUCGAGAGCUUCAAGGAAAGCCUGAGCCUAUGUUUUACUACACACACGCUUCAGUUAUAGAAUGUAAACAUCGCGUAUAACGCAUUUUAAAUACAACUUUCAGCAACGGAUCUCUUGGCUCUC